GCAGGCUCAGCACACCGCCCUGCGGGGAAUGGGGUGUGGGGAGCCAGCACUAAGAACACUGUGUGAAGGAGUAACGGGUCUGUUCUCUGAGCCAGAAACCUUGUGUUUUCUGUCAGCAAAGAUCAAUAUGGAUGAAAAACAAAGUGAGUUAAGAAUCUGCCAGAGAGCUUUCCUAUCCAGGUCCACCCCUAAAUAUUUACACAAAUUUUCACCUAAAUAAGAAAUGAAUACAGAAACAAGCCUCUCCCAGGGACUAAUCCAGCGGAUAGUUACGGAGAUACGCACUGCACCAGGCCCUGCAUUCGACACUGGUACACAGCAAGCAAGCCGCCAAGGACCCUGCCUUCCUGGAGUUUACACUCUAGCAGGGGAGACAGUCAACACACACAUAAAUAGCCAUCUCAGAGAGUCUUAAACGCUAUGGAGAAAAAUAAACCAAGUGACGGGAGGCUGUUGGUCUGACUGGGUGCAGGACAGCCUCUGAGAGGGUCACAUUCGGCUGAGAUCUGAACGGAAUAUGAAAGUCCCUGGGAAAACAGGAAGGGGUCAGCCAGGCUGUGCGGAUUGGACCAAAGUGCAGUGUAUGAACAUUAAGUGUGUAUGAAGAUCAGAGUUAACGAACACGCUUCUCCUUCCAUUGUAACGAAGCCGGGGCUGAGAACCAGUCCUGCCCCCACAUCUCCAGGGCAGUGACAACGCCAUUGCCCAUGUGGCUGAGAGAAUUGCACCCCGAGGUCUGGAGCUACCAGCAAACCCCAAUGCAGCACACCUGGAGUCGCAUGGUCACCCAGCUCCUGAGGAUCCGAAGCUGCCCGAGAUCCGCCUCGCACCGUCACAGGGUGCAACGGUCAGGAACAAAGCCAAGAGGUGCCACUCAAGCCUCCCCUGCUGCGGAGCUCAGAGACGGCCACUCCUCCCGCUGUGCGGUAGGCGCUGGGCUCCGGCCCUUGAGGCUGGGCUGGUCUCACUAAGAAUGAACGGCAUCAGGUGGAAGCUCAUUCUGGGGCCUCUGAGGCUGGGCCACAAGAAGCCUGCUAGCCUCCACCCCAAGGACCACCAGCACCCUUGCGCUCCCUGGGAUGCCUGGAUGCCCACCUUGUAAAAGGCUGACUAACCUGAGGCCACCUGGGCUGUGAGGAAGCCCGGGCCAGCCACGUGAAGAGGCUGCAUGUAGAGAGAUGCCUGACUGGCCCCAGCUGCUCCAAGCAUCUCAUUCCAGGCACCGGGAAUGGGAAGAAGGAUCCACCCUGGACUCAGGGGAGCCCAAGCGGAUGCAAGAGGGAGAAGAGCCCAGGAGCCAAGCUGACACCAAACUGAGACGCAGUUGUAGGGCCCGGAGGGGCAAGCCCUCUGCCUCCAGCUGCUCGAGCCGUGCUGGCCAAGGCCCAGGUCAGUAUGAGUGCAGUCAAGCCCUCCCUGCCGUGCCCUGCCUGAAAUCCUGACCCACGAACUCAGGAGCAUGAUAAAAUCAUCAUCAUUUUAUGUCAUGAAAAAGUCAGGGAGCUGCAACACAUAACUGGGGCACCAGAGGUAUGGCAAACCGGGCCUUUGCCGGCUCCUGAUUACCACGGGACCAGCACCCAAAGCUGGCAGCAGUCACAGGAGAACAAGAUAGCCCCAAACCCACAUGCGAAACAUACAUGCACACCCACUGUGUCCUGCCACUCCCACCAUUACUCCCACAGCCACGACGGUGAUGACAGCCACUACCGUUAAUACUAAGGAUAGUAAGCGCCCAAGUAAUGGUCUGUGGGGCACCCCGCAGGGUGCUGAGCAUGUGUGUGGACACGUUUCUGUUCUAUAUACCUGACAACCAGCGACUGAGACACUGAGAACCUCCCCUCGCAGAUGAGGAGGGCAGCUCUGAGGAGCCUUGUGCUUUGCCCAAGGUCGCACGGCCAGGAAGUGGCUGGUCUAAACUGGAAUCAAAUGGUGUGCUUCUAGAGCCCAAACCUGAGGUCACCCCCCAACUGCAGGGAGCCGCCACCGCUGCCCGCCUCCCUGGAGGCCGUGGAGAUGAAGGGGGCUCCCCCUCUGGCAGGCGGGCAACAGAGGGGUCCUGGGCCAGCGGCUGUGAGGUCCUUCAUUCACUUGUCCACAGACAUUAGCUGAGCCCCUACUAUGAGCCAGGCUGGUGCCAGGGACUGGGGAGCAGACAGUUGGCCGGGCAGAGCAUGGGCGUGAGGUGCUGGGAGAUGCUGGGGUAAGGAGGGGACCCCGCUAUGAUGUGUGAGACCCAAGUUCCAGCAGCCAGGAUCACACGGGGUAAACCAAACAUGCAUUCAAGGUCCGAGGUGGCAGGUGGGAAGGAAAACGGGGCCUCUCUCCUCACCUGCCGCCUCCCCUGGUCCCGUAAAAUGCCCCACAAUCUCCGGGCUGCCCUGCAGCUUCCACUUCUCGCUCAGAGCAGCGCAGAUGGGGCAGAGCUAAAGGGUGUGUCACAGCUGUGCCCGGUUCCCUGCGGGGAGCCUCAGCACCACCUUCCGGCUGACAAGCCCGGCCAGCCCCACGUCCCUGAUCCAUUUCAGAGAUGCGGCAACUGUCCAAAGGGUAGGGGCUGCCGAAGGUCACCAGGGGCAGCCUCCGUUCCUCACAUCAGGCCCCGCUCACAACCCGAGGAGAAAGAAGCCGGUGUCAGCUCCAUGUGGGGGACAUUGCGAGAGGGAACGGGGCUCCGGGCAGCACCUGGGAGGGCGGCCCAGACGGCUGCACAAGGAGACCACCUGGCUGGAGAAGGCUGGGGCCUCAGGGUCUGCCUGUCGCAGACGAUUUCACAGCUGAGUGGGCUGGACGUCUCUGGGGUGCCUAUGGAGGGGAAAUGCUUCCAGAAGCUCUAGUCAGAGUGAGAAGGACACUGUGCCCCUCGGGCACAUCGUAGGCUUCCCAGAAACGGCUGGCUCUGGUUUCGUUUCAUUUUGUAAUCUGGAUGCCCAACACACAGCAAGCCCUGGCUGGACAUUCAGUCCAGCAAAACCAUCAGCAGCUGUCCUGCUCUGGGACAGCCAGGUGCUCAGAAUGGCACUGGACAUGACAUUUCGGUGAAUGGAUGCACAGGUGAAUGGAGAGCCUCUCACUGCCUCAGUUUCCCCACUGGACUGGCCAUGAAUGAAAAUCUUUUUCACCUUUUGGUGACACACCUUUUGAUGACACCUGGCAAAGCAACAUUUUAAUACAGAGGAGAGGAACGCCCACUUUCGUGUUGAAAGCCUAGUUUAAAGAAAGGGGCAGGACCCUUUAGGGGGACAAACCUGUUGCUAAAUGGGGGCGCUGACCCCCUUCCUAUAACCAUUCUCACUAGCAGGCCCUCUGGCUGUCUUAUGCUCUGAGACCUGCUGCUUGUCGGGCGCUAGCCUGGCCUCGACUUCCUCCCCGGCGGAAAGACGCCUACCUAGUUUCCAUUCGGAGAUCUUUGUAGAAGUCCCCGUGGAGAAGUCAAAAGUUUGACUUGAAAAAAGGAGCUACUUCAAAAGCAUUGUCAGGCCGAGGUGAGGGUUCCUUUAAAGAGCAUGAAUUACAGGGCGCCCACUAAUCAACCUGCACAGGCUGCCCAGUGGCAGGGGCUGGGUGGGGGCGCCAAAGGGACGUUUGGGGGCACACUGGGGGAGGCGAAGCCAAUAAAAUACAGGUUGAAUAAAAGAGUGAGUUAAUGUGUUUAUUACUUACUGCUUGGAGAGAGAGAGAGUGUGUGUGUGUGUGUAGAAAAAUGAAA